rnacentral:tRNA from 1 species
GCUCCUGUGGCGCAAUCGGUUAGCGCGCGGUACUACGCCGAGGUUGUGAGUUCGAGCCUCACCUGGAGCA